rnacentral:ncRNA from 2 species
GUUGAGAGACAGGGGCGCCCGUUUGUGGGAAUGGGCUGAGAAGCACCCUUCGAACCUGAACCGGAUAAUGCCGGCGGAGGGAGUCGCUCGGGUCGAAGC